UGGGGAAUAUUGCACAAUGGGCGCAAGCCUGAUGCAGCCAUGCCGCGUGUGUGAAGAAGGCCUUCGGGUUGUAAAGCACUUUCAGCGGGGAGGAAGGCGAUAAGGUUAAUAACCUUGUCGAUUGACGUUACCCGCAGAAGAAGCACCGGCUAACUCCGUGCCAGCAGCCGCGGUAAUACGGAGGGUGCAAGCGUUAAUCGGAAUUACUGGGCGUAAAGCGCACGCAGGCGGUCUGUCAAGUCGGAUGUGAAAUCCCCGGGCUCAACCUGGGAACUGCAUUCGAAAGUGGCAGGCUAGAGUCUUGUAGAGGGGGGUAGAAUUCCAGGUGUGGCGGUGAAAUGCGUAGAGAUCUGGAGGAAUACCGGUGGCGAAGGCGGCCCCCUGGACAAAGACUGACGCUCAGGUGCGAAAGCGUGGGGAGCAAACAGG
rnacentral:rRNA from 1 species